CUGGCGGCAUGCCUAACACAUGCAAGUCGAACGAGACCUUCGGGUCUAGUGGCGCACGGGUGCGUAACGCGUGGGAAUCUGCCCUUGGGUUCGGAAUAACUCAGAGAAAUUUGAGCUAAUACCGGAUGAUGACGAGAGUCCAAAGAUUUAUCGCCCAAGGAUGAGCCCGCGUAAGAUUAGCUUGUUGGUGGGGUAAUGGCCCACCAAGGCGACGAUCUUUAGCUGGUCUGAGAGGAUGAUCAGCCACACUGGGACUGAGACACGGCCCAGACUCCUACGGGAGGCAGCAGUGGGGAAUAUUGGACAAUGGGCGAAAGCCUGAUCCAGCAAUGCCGCGUGAGUGAUGAAGGCCUUAGGGUUGUAAAGCUCUUUUACCAGGGAUGAUAAUGACAGUACCUGGAGAAUAAGCUCCGGCUAACUCCGUGCCAGCAGCCGCGGUAAUACGGAGGGAGCUAGCGUUGUUCGGAAUCACUGGGCGUAAAGCGUGCGUAGGCGGUGACUCAAGUCAG
rnacentral:rRNA from 1 species